GGAUAAGGAAAGUAAAGAAGGGCGCAUGGCGGAUGCCUUGGCUCUCGGAGGCGAUGAAGGACGUGAUAAGCUGCGAUAAGCUUUGGGGAGGUGCAAAUGACCUUUGAUCCAGAGAUUUCCGAAUGGGACAACCCAAUAUCUUGAAGAGGUAUUAUCCAACGUUGUUGGAGGCUAACGCAGGGAACUGAAACAUCUUAGUACCUGCAGGAAAAGAAAAUAAACAAUGAUUCCCCCAGUAGUGGCGAGCGAACGGGGAACAGCCCAAACCAUCCAUGUUACGGCAUGGGUGGGGUUGUAGGACUACGUCGUUGCAUGAAGACAUCAGAGAAGAACUUUCUGGAAAGAAAGACCAUAGAGCAUGACAGUUGCGUAUUCGAAUGUUGUCGAAGCAUAGUAGUAUCCUGAGUAGCGCGGAGCACGAGGAAUUCUGCGUGAAUCUGCCGGGACCAUCCGGUAAGGCUAAAUACUCCCGAGAGACCGAUAGCGAACCAGUACCGUGAGGGAAAGGUGAAAAGCACUUCGAACAGAAGAGUGAAAUAGUUCCUGAAACCGUGCGCCUACAAGCGGUCGGAGCUCGUUAAUGAGUGACGGCGUGCCUUUUGCAUAAUGAACCUACGAGUUGCCUUUGCCGGCAAGGUUAAGUGUGACGACACACGUAUCCGAAGCGAAAGCGAGUCUGAACAGGGCGUAUAGUCGGCAGUGGCAGACGCGAAACCAAGUGAUCUACCCUUGGCCAGGUUGAAGGCUGGGUAACACCAGCUGGAGGACCGCACCAAUAAGCGUUGAAAAGCUUCUGGAUGAGCUGAGGGUAGGGGUGAAAGGCUAAUCAAACUUGGAGAUAGCUCGUACUCCCCGAAAUGCAUUUAGGUGCAGCCUUGCGGGUUACUGAUGUGAGGUAGAGCGACUGAUAAGAUGCGAGGGCUUCACCGCCUAUCAAGUCUUGACAAACUCCGAAUGCGCAUCAGUUCUACCGCAGGAGUGAGGGCAUGGGUGCUAAGGUCCGUGCCCGAGAGGAGAAGAAUCCGGACCACCUGCUAAGGUCCCGAAAUGACAGCUAAGUUAAACUAACGAAGUCUGACUGCUAAGACAGCUAGGAUGUUGGCUUGGAAGCAGCCAUUCAUUUAAAGAGUGCGUAACAGCUCACUAGUCGAGGAGUCGGGCGUGGAUAAUAAUCGGGUAUUAAGUUGUCUACCGAAGCAGUGGGAUCAUUAAUAUGAUCGGUAGGGGAGCAUUCCAGUCGGCGUCGAAGGCGUACCGUGAGGUAUUCUGGAGCGUCUGGAAAAGCAAAUGUAGGUAUAAGUAACGAUAAAGGGGGCGGGAAACCCCCUCGCCGAAAGACUAAGGUUUCCUGAUCAACGCUAAUCGGAUCAGGGUCAGUCGGGUCCUAAGGCUCAGCCGAACGGCGAUGCCGAUGGCAGAAACGGUUAAUAUUCCGUUACUACCUUCAGGAGUGACGUGGAGACGCAGUAGUGACAGUGCCGCCAUCUGACGGAAUAGAUGGUUGAAGGGUGUAGGAGUCGAUCAUGGCAGGCAAAUCCACCAUGAGAUCCGAACCUGACAGUAUGCCGCGUCCUUCGGGACAAGGCAAUAGUGCGCGUAAGCAUGCUGCCGAGAAAAUCCGCUAAACUUAAUCCUGCAGGUACCCGUACCGCAAACGGACACACGUAGUCGGGAUGAAUAUUCUAAGGCGCUUGAGUGAUUCACGGUUAAGGAACUAGGCAAACUGACCCUGUAACUUCGGGAUAAAGGGUCCCUACCCUUUUAUGGGAGGGCGCAGAGAAUCGGUCCAGGCAACUGUUUAACAAAAACACAGGGCUGUGCCAAAUCGAAAGAUCCAGUAUACAGCCUGACACCUGCCCGGUGCUGGAAGGUUAAGAGGAGAUGUCAUCGAUAAGAGAAGCGUUGAAUUGAAGCCCCAGUAAACGGCGGCCGUAACUAUAACGGUCCUAAGGUAGCGAAAUUCCUUGUCGGGUAAGUUCCGACCUGCACGAAUGGUGUAAUGAUCUGGACGCUGUCUCAACCGUGAGCUCAGUGAAAUUGUAGUAUCGGUGAAGAUGCCGAUUACCCGCGAUGGGACGAAAAGACCCCGUGAACCUUUACUAUAGCUUAUCAUUGAAUCUGGGCACGUGAUGUGUAGGAUAGGUCGGAGGCUUUGAAGCAGGUACGCCAGUAUUUGUGGAGCCGCUGUUGAAAUACGACCCUUUAUUUGUUUGGAUUCUAACCCGUGGANNNNNNNNNNNNNNNNNNNNNNNNNNNNNNNNNNNNNNNNNNNNNCGGGGACAUUGAUUGGUGGGUAGUUUGACUGGGGUGGUCGCCUCCAAAAGCGUAACGGAGGCUUCUAAAGGUGCCCUCCGGCCGAUUGGUAACCGGCCUUAGAGUGUAAUGGCAUAAGGGCGCUUGACUGGGAGACUAACAAGUCGAUCAGGUAGGAAACUAGAGCAUAGUGAUCCGGUGUUUCCGUAUGGAAGGGACAUCGCUCAAAGGAUAAAAGGUACUCCGGGGAUAACAGGCUGAUCCCUCCCAAGAGCUCAUAUCGACGGAGUGGUUUGGCACCUCGAUGUCGGCUCGUCACAUCCUGGGGCUGGAGAAGGUCCCAAGGGUUGGGCUGUUCGCCCAUUAAAGUGGCACGCGAGCUGGGUUCAGAACGUCGUGAGACAGUUCGGUCUCUAUCUAUCGUGGGCGUAUGAAAUUUGCGUGGCUCUGACACUAGUACGAGAGGACCGUGUUGGACAGACCUCUGGUUUGCCGGUUGUGCCGCCAGGUGCAUUGCCGGGUAUCUAAGUCUGGAUCGGAUAAGUGCUGAAAGCAUCUAAGUACGAAGCCGGCCACAAGAUUAGAUUUCUCAGGGUCGUUGUAGACUACGACGUUGAUAGGAUGCAGGUGUAAAGGUAGAGAUACCAAAGCCGAGCAUUACUAAUUGCCCGUUCACUUUCCUUA
rnacentral:rRNA from 1 species